rnacentral:lncRNA from 1 species
AUUGGGUCCAAGAGACAGUAAUAUAAAAAGGAGGGAGAGUUUUAAAAAAAAAAAUCCACCCGUAGCUUGGAGAAGUAAUACGUACCUCCAGAUAAUUUGAGAGUAGCUCGGCAAAGGUGAUGACCAACUCCAACUUGUUUCUAUCAAUUGAAAGACAGUAAAGCAGGGCGAACGGCAAAUAAUAAGCGGUGGUGGUGGCAACAAAGCAAUUCGCAGCAGCGGCAACUUGGUGAUGACAAAUAAGAAGAAAGGAACAAAGCCUGGUUUAAAAGCUUUCAGUGGAGAAUUCCCGGCCUCGGUCUUGAUUAUUUAUAAUAAGUGCUCUUUGAGUCCAAGAAGAGUUUAAAUUCUUCAAUUCAAAGGAAUUCGGAAGAUGAGUUUGAGUUUAACUAUGAGUCCGACAGCAAUCCGGCUUCGGGAUUCCCAACUUAGUUAAUCAGAUUUGAUUCCUAAUGGAUUUCAAAUACUACUCGGUAUUCUCCGUGGCAAUUGAUCGCUUGUAUGGGUUGUGCACAAAUCCUCUUGAUUAAGGUGGC